CGAGGGGCAGCGGGGAGCAAGCUUGCUUGCUCUGCCGGCGACCGGCGCACGGGUGAGUAACACGUAUGCAACCUGCCCUCCGCAGGGGGAUAACCCGGAGAAAUCCGGACUAAUACCGCGUGGUACACUUGUGGGGCAUCCCACGGGUGUUAAAAGGAAGUGAUUCCGGCGGAGGAUGGGCAUGCGGCGCAUUAGCUGGUUGGCGGGGUAACGGCCCACCAAGGCGACGAUGCGUAGGGGUUCUGAGAGGAAGGUCCCCCACACUGGUACUGAGACACGGACCAGACUCCUACGGGAGGCAGCAGUGAGGAAUAUUGGUCAAUGGGCGGGAGCCUGAACCAGCCAAGUCGCGUGAGGGAAGACGGUCCUAUGGAUUGUAAACCUCUUUAGGCGGGGAGCAAUGCCGGGCACGCGUGCCCGGAGGGAGAGUACCCGCAGAAUAAGCAUCGGCUAACUCCGUGCCAGCAGCCGCGGUAAUACGGAGGAUGCGAGCGUUAUCCGGAUUUAUUGGGUUUAAAGGGUGCGUAGGCGGAUUUUUAAGUCAGCGGUAAAAUGUCCGGGCUCAACCCGGGCCGGCCGUUGAAACUGGGGAUCUUGAGUGGGCGAGAAGUAUGCGGAAUGCGUGGUGUAGCGGUGAAAUGCAUAGAUAUCACGCAGAACUCCGAUUGCGAAGGCAGCAUACCGGCGCCCGACUGGCGCUGAGGCACGAAAGCGUGGGGAUCGAACAGGAUUAGAUACCCUGGUAGUCCACGCAGUAAACGAUGAAUGCUAGUUGUCCGGUUCUUU
rnacentral:rRNA from 1 species